rnacentral:rRNA from 1 species
GACGAACCGAGCGAACGUUGUUCGGAAUCACUGGGCUUAAAGCGUGUGUGGGCGGAUCGGUAAGUACCUUGUGAAAUCCCACAGCUUAACUGUGGAACUGCUUGGUAUACUGCCAGUCUUGAGCCAGCUAGGGGCUACCGGAACAAAUGGUGGAGCGGUGAAAUGCGUAGAUAUCAUUUGGAACGCCAAUGGUGAAAACAGGUAGCUGGGGCUGUGCUGACGCUGAGACACGAAAGCCAGGGGAGCAAACGGG